AUAAAAGAAAAGUGAAAAUAAAAUUAUUUCUCCAAUUAUAAUAUCUUUUGUUUUAAUUCAAAAUUAAUAAUUUUAUAAAUUUUCUUUUACUUUCAGCUAAUAAAAUUCAAUUGGACCUGGGAUUUGGCCUUGGUUAGCUGCUUCCGUUCAGGAAAGGAAAUUUGGUAGAAAUGUAAGGACUAAGUUCACCAAAGCUCAUAGACUAAGGUCUAGAGACUUUGGCAAGAAAUACCCCUUACCAUUUCUCCGGAAAAUAAAAGCUACAAAUUCAGAUGGGACCUGGACCGGAAAACUAAAUAUGAAAUAAUUUGGACCAAAUUAUGAUUCAAAAAGGUGUUGGUAACAAUUCGUAUUUCCUACAGAAAAACAGCGAGACUGAGGAAGAAGCAACACACUGAGGAAAAGAUCCCUGUCAGCGAGAAUAAAAUCGGUUUGACAAUUUGACACGAACGUGCGGAUAUGUGCAUUCUGGUUGGGCCAGUAAAAGUAUUCUUUGACCCUUCGAAGCGUCUUCCCAAAUCCUCCGUGCGGAGCCUGAGGUGGAUUGUGGCACUUGGCAAUUAUGUCUUGGGUUAAUUCGAGCGGGACCCAAAGUUUCCAAGCGAAGUCCUCGUUUAUCGGGACUCCAUCGUAAGGCAAAACUCGUUUGUAGACCAAAUCGUCUACUACCUUCAAAUCUGGUAAACGUUCUGCAUUUUCUUGGAUUGUGGCGAUUAAUUCCAGAAAGCUCCUCCAUGUCAUACCUCGACAAGGUGUCGGGUACUAUAUUUUUAGAACCUGGCCUGUGUUCGACGUUGAAGGCAAAUGACUGAAGAUGCAAGCUCCAUCUGGCAAGUCGACCGCUCAAGUCUUUGUGAGACAUUAGCCAUUUAAGGCUGCUGUGGUCAGUAAUGACUGUAAAGGGCAUCAACUCGAUGUAAGGCCUAAAUUUUUUAAUGGCCAUUACUACGGCCAAACACUCUCUCUCUGUGACCGAAUAGUUCUUCUGAGCGCUGGUCAAUUUAUGAGAAAAAAAAGCGAUGGGAUGCUCUCCGUCGUCUUCGUCCUUUUGAAAUAAGACAGCUCCCAAUCCAAGAUCCGAGGCAUCACACUGCACAUAAAAGUGCUUGUUAAAAUUGGGAUGAGUGAGCACUGGUGCGGUUGUUAGGGCUGUUUUCAGUCUAUCGAAGGCUUCUCUGGCAUCAUCGGGAAAGUUGAACGUUUUUCCUUUCUUAAGGGUGUUGAAGAUAGGAGUAGAAAUCGUCGCGUAGUCUGGGAUGAAGCGCCUGUACCAGCCAGUAGCUCCCAUGAAACUCCUGACCUGCCUAGCGGUUUUCGGGUACCUCAACUCUUUGAAGCAGAACUUAGAUUUCCCUACAUUUAUGGUCAGUCCUGCCGAAUCCAAACAAUGCGCUACUCGAUCCAGCAAUUCCAGGUGGGUUUUAAAGUCCGGAGAUACGAUCAAAAGAUCGUCUAGAUAGACAAAGACUCUAUCACGAAGUGCUGAGGGGAUCACUUUAUCCAUCAGACGGCAUAACCUUUGGGCUGCAUUACACAACCCGAAAGGCAUUACCGUAAAAUGGUAAAGUGGUCGUCCUGGCACCGUAAAUGCAGUCUUUUCUCUACUAGACGCAUCUAGUGGUAUCUGCCAGAAUGCGUCUUUAAGAUCUACGCUUGAUAUAAAAUAUGUGUCCCCUAACCGGCUGAGAAGACCUUCGAUGUGCGGCAGAGGAUAGGCGUCCUUAAUCGUGAGGGCAUUCAGCUUACGAGCGUCCAAGCACAAACGGUUCUUCUCGCCCCUACGGACGAGAGUAACCGGAUGGCUCCAAGGGCUCUCGCUUUGCUCAAUGACCCCAAGAUUAAGCAUCCUAUCAAGUUCUGCGUACAUCAACUUCUGCACAGCUGGUGAGACCGGAUAAUGCUUGUCCUUAACUGGAAUCGCGUCGCGAGUGUCGAUUGUAUGAGAUUCGAGGGAAGUCUGACCAAGUCCCUUCUUCGUAAAACAUGGAAAUUUCGCUACGAUGACAUCUAAUGACGCAUUCUGACUCGGAACGUAUAAAUCUUAACAAAGAAAAGGUUAAAACUCAAAAUGGAAAAGAAGAUUCAAAACUUAAUCUUGUGAACGGCGAUGUUUUUCGGGUAAGUAAUGUUUGCAGGAAAUGGAAAAAGUAAAUGGAUAAAUAAAAAAAAAAGGUAGUAUUUGUUCUACCGCAGCUCAAAUUUCAAGGGGCAUCUAGAAGAUUGGUGUUGAAAACCCAGUACGCCUAGGACUACCCUAUCUAUUUUACCGCAGACAAAACCGUUACUGCUUUCCCGCUCUAUUCCCUGGCGGCCAACUAAUUUUGCGGAAGAAUCUCCCGGGUGAGGAUAGGGUAGAUGGAUAUUUCCUGUCAGUGACGUGUCUAAAUGUCUAAGUGGUUCGAGGAGAAUUACCUAUAUAAGAUUUAGGAAAAUCUUGGGUUAAUUAACCUCGCGACUCACUGUUCCCUAGGCCAGAGCUCUAACCUAACUCGCGCACGCGUGGUUAAGGUUCACACGCGGGAUGGACUUUGCGAUACUUAAGACUUCCUAUUUUUUUAUAUAAAUAUCUCACUAAUCACCUUUUUUUUUUAUUUUAUAAAUAUUUCUUUUUUUUUU